CUGUACAAAGGCUACAAUACCAAUAAAAUAGCCUUUCUGCAGUGAACUCCCAUCAGUUUCUCUUUGUCAUUUAUCUUUCUGUGGUUUCUUCUCCCAGAUGUUCGACAGCAACAUGUUAGUGAAGAAAGAAACCAGGAGAGAAACUCCAGUCUGGACCAAACAGAACCAGAACCUCCAAAGAUCACAGAGGAACCAAAGGAAAAGAGUUUUAAUCAGGAGGGAGAGCAGCUGCUCCUGAAUCAGGAGGCUGAUGUGAAUGUGGAGAUGAAGUCUGAUUUGUUGGAUCAUCAGCAACACGUGAGGGACAUCACUAGGCUUCCUGUGAUAACGCUGCAACGAAAAGUUGGGGACAUAUGGCUGAUCUGUAACCGUGAGAGAAACUCCAGUCUGGACCAAGCAGAACCAGAACCUUCACAGACCAAAGAGCAACCAGAAAAGCCGUGCAAUAAUCAGGAGGGAGAGCUCCUGAAUCAGGAGACUGAUGUGAAGGAGACUGAUGUGAAGACAACUACCAGACCGAAGCAAGAAACAGCUUGUUUUGUUGUUAUGAGACAUGAACUACUUAGUUUUGCUGCCAGCAACAUAUAAAAACGCAGAUUGCAGUGGUUUUUAGCGGCUCAGAUGAGAACGAGUGAAACACUGCAGCUUCACAGCGGCUAAUGCAUGUAACAUCGCCCAAAGUGCUGUCGGCAAAGCGGGCCAAAGUUCUGCAGAACCUCCCAGCAAUAGAUUCUAGUUUAGCGACCUGAUGGAUCAGAGGGAUGUGUACAACUCUCUGAAAAAAAGGCCGACAUUGUGGUGAUGAACGUUAUUAGUUUACAUCCGCGUGUGAGAAAGCGGAGUUGCAGCUGCAGUGCAGACUGUGAUGUUAACAAAGCACCUUAGCCACAUUAAAGCAACUUUCCUUCACCCUGUCACGCUGCCUCAUCAUCAAACUUUGUUUCUGGAAAUAAUUACGGUAGUUUUUUUUCUCCCCUUUAUUUUUGAAGGAGCAUUUAGGCUCCACAUGUGUUUAAAAGUACUGGAGAAGCUACAUUAAACAAUAUUGAAAAUAAACAGCACUUUAGUUACUCAAUCUUACUUUUAGAAUCUUAUUAGUUAAGGUACAUUCAUUCCAUUAUUUUUUCCUAUACUUGAAAUAUUUUGUUGUGGUAAAAGCAACUUAUAUAUGAGAUACAGUUGCAGUGCUUACUAUUGGGAUUAUUAAAUAAACUGAAUUUUACAAUUUUAUUACAAUUGAAGAUGUAUUGAAUUUCAGGUAAGGUUUUUUCUAAGUCAAACUUUAAAUAAAAAAGAAAGAAAAUGUGUUGUGGUUCAAUAUCAGGAUACGUAUCGUAAUGCCAGACUCUUGCCAAUGCACACCCCUAUUACUCGAUUAUGCUAAUAAUGUCAUUCUUUAUUGUCUAUUGUACACAUUUUUAUUACAUGUCUUCCACCAUUUUCCAUACAAAAUGUAUUUUUUACGUAUGCACGUCGUUUAGUUGGUGUUAGUAACCUGUUUUGAUGGCAAGUAAUCCAGUCAGUAAAACAUCUUCACUUUUUGAGAUCAUAAAUAAACAAUCGAUCAUUUGUUUAUAUAUGGAUUGAGGUUUUUGGAGGUUUUUUACUGUUGGUGUUGCACAAAAUUAGGAAAAUGCUAAAUAUUUUGAAUGAAUCCCAGUGAUGAAUUCUAGGAUUUAGUCUUUAAUGGUUUAUAAGACCUAAAAAUGAUAUUCACAAUAACAAGUUUAAAAAAAAAUCAAUAUGUGAUACAUUUCACAAAAACACACACAGGACAUCACACACCAAGCAGAAAUAAAUGUAUUGCUAAAAAUGAGUCAAAAGAGAAAAGGAAACGGAAUGAUUUUAUUUUUUAUUGAUUAUACUUCCAGACGUUGUUUUUUUUCUCCAGCAUGUUCAUAUUAGUAUAAUUUUGACAGAAUAUAUUUUUAUGGAGAUAAAUAUUAUACCUUGUUUAAAUUUUCAUUUCAUUUUCAGAUUCAUAUUCCUGUCUGUUUUUAUUCAUAUUUAUGUUUAAAAAGUUAGGUGUAUUUUUUUAUAACUUUAUUUUUAUUAGGUUUUUUUGCAUGAAAAGAAAACACAAACCAAAAUCAAACCAGAGGGGUUUACUUGCCCAGGGAGUAAGUUAGUGUAGAACCGCCCCUGUUCAUACACAAAAUGGUGAAUUGAACAAUAAAAUGUCCAGAAAACAGUGUUGGUAAUAAAUAAAUGUGGUUGUUGUAUGAAUGUUUAAAUUCAGGUAGACGAGUAAAGUUCGGUGGACUAACAGUCAGCUCUUUCUUUUUUGUGAAUUAAAGGUAGAGCAGCUGUAAUGACACGAUACUGUGGAUAAUAAGAAUGAAUGCUGUGAUUUAUACAUUGAUUUAUGUUCCUUGGGGACGCAGUAGUGCAGCAUUUGAGCGAUCGAUCCUCUAAUUGGAAGAUUGCAGGUUUGGUUCCCGCUCUGCACACAUGUGUAGAAGUGUUCUUGAGCAAGACACUAAACCCCACAUUGCUUCUGUUUGGCAUCAGUGUGUAAAUAUGUGUGUAAAGUAGAACUAAUUGGAGACUGUUAAGUAGAGAGACUGUGACUGUAAAGCACUUUGAGCCUUUUAACAAGGUAGUAAAGCACUUUAUAAGUAUAGACCAUUUACCAUUUAUGUCUGUUAGG
rnacentral:lncRNA from 1 species